UCUCUCUCUCUCUCUCUCUCUCUCUCUCUCUCUCUCUCUCCAACUUGUGACUGUAUCUCCGGCGACAUCACCAACCGGCCAAGCUCCGAAUUUUGAGGUCGUCAAUGGUUAUGUCCAAGAUCGCCGGGAUCCGCUUCUCCAGUGAAGGUAACUCACCGUCUUUUGGUGAAUCUUCACUGAAUCUCAGUUUCUCUCCGGCGAAGCCAUGUUGCAAAGUUCGAUUGUCCAAUUCUUGUUGAGUCGUGCAGAUCGGAGGAUCUAAAGUCAGGCAUGUAAAUUCUCUUUUGCAAAUUUGUCUAUGCAUUCGUCGAUAAUAGUUCACAUUCAAAAUUCGCACCAAUUGUAGUUAGACUAUAAAUUUUGUUGACAUGAAGUGGUGGUUCAAAAUUUGCAGCACAUUCCUAGGUUUUUGAGAAAGGAGCUGUCCGCCGUGGUCCAGAAGGAUCCGGUGGUGGCUCAGGUCGGCGGUCUGAGCAAGCCACCGGAAAAGUCAGGCGGUUUGGAAGGACGAGGCAUCUGAAAUCUGGUCAAGAGGAUGGGGAAGCUUUUAUCCUGAGGGCGACUCAUCUAGGAAUUUACUUGAAGAGGUGUAUAAGAGCUACUUCUCGCUCAGCUUGAUAGAUAAUGACUACAUCCAUGGUGACCUUUUCACUGUAUUUGCUAAAUUCUAGAAGGGCUUGUUGUCUCUGGCAUCCCAUCAACCAUUAGGCUGGUGCUUUCUUUGCAAGUUUGGUUUUAUUUAUUGAUUACACGCAUUUUUAUGCAUGUUAUCGUAUCUAAAACACUAGAAUUAAGUUAAUACUCAUGUCAAUUAUUAUGUAAUUAAUCCAUUUUUAUUUAUUUUGUAGAAAAUAAGUGGAGUUGCGGAAACCGGACAAAAUGGUGUGGAAUGUUUUUGAUAAAAGGACAAAAAAUCAACAUUAGUCAACCAUGGUCAACUCGAACGAGGAGAAGGAAAGUUGGAAACCGACCACCCUAAUAUAAUUUGGGCGGAGGUGCGUAAAGACCGGAGCAAAAGAGAGAAAAAAAAAAGAAUAAUAUUGAGAGGGAUUAAUUAAACAAUGUUCAAUUAAUUAAACAAAUGUUUAAUUAUAGAAGGAGGCACGUGGGCUGUGCAAACAGAAUGAAGAGAUGGCUUAAUUAACAUAAUCAUCUCCACCAAUGAGCAUGUGACACGCAGCAAGAAGCAAAGGAAAUACCAGAUUUCCUUCUUCAAUCCCAGCCACCCACACCGACCAUUGCUAAUUUGUCUUCUUUAAUCACAACCGUCCAUUACUCAUCCAAUUUCUCUCCUCACGACCAGCCACUCCUUUUAAUUGAUGGAUUCAUCAUUUCUCAAAUACAACCUACAGCAGCGCCGCACAGCAGCCUUGGGGAGGGCUGCUGCCCUCUCCCUCAUUCCCUUCCAUUUUUCUUAUUUUGUUUAGUUUUCUUUUGGGUAUUUGGAGGAUUUCUCACUCAAGCUUCAAAGAAUCAUCAUCUAGAGCACCACACCUCUAUUUUGGGUAGUUGGGUGAAGAAAUUACUUGGUUCAUACUACCUCAUAGCUAGAAGUGACCAAGCUAACUCUCCCCUCUCUUCCUUAUUAUCUAUUCCAUAAUUUUAUUUGCUAUUGAUGAUGUAUUUGACUAUGGAUAGUGAGUAGUUCAAAAUUGGGAGUUAGGGUUGUGAAGCCCUAACUCAUCUUGUAUAAAUAUUGAUGUUUUACUUUUAAUAAAUGCAAUUUCCAUUGUGUA